UACAGGCCUGGCCAGGAACAUUUAAG
rnacentral:piRNA from 1 species